GAUCAAUAUAGUGGCUUCUUGCUGAGGAACGGCUUAAGAGUAUUGCCAGCCCCAGUCCUCUGAGAAAAGAAGAUGGGCUGGUUUGUUUGUGAUCCCUAGGGUUAGCUCUUAGUUUUUAGCCACAGAGGGGAGUGGGAGCCAAGAAUUUCUGCAGAACCUUAAAGACUGCUGCUUCUACUUUGUGUGAGGGAGGGAUCCUAGCCCCUUGGAACUAUUUUACUUUUGGUUUGGACUGUUUUAUUACAUCUUAUACCCCCUCCUGCCUUGAAGAGGGGAGACUUGUUAAGAGGUACAGCUGGAUACACCAUACCCCAAGACUGCCUUGCUUAGGAAAUGAUGUACAAGGGAAAUGUUUUUAUUCAAGCUUUCAGUGAUACAAAAUGCAUAUUAUAAUCAACAAUGCAUGGGAAGUAAGGAGCAAAGAUCACAUUGAACCUGCAAGCUGAAACCCCCAAACCUUGCCAGCAGGGCAGACCUUUCCUCUGGACCAUUCCAGUGAUGUGGAGGCUGAUCACCAAGUAUCUUGCUUUGCAACCAGUAUACUGUAUCUGACCUUCCUAUGCCCCACAAAACAAACACCGUGUGUAUGCUUUCAGUAGGAUAGAGUUGAAACAUGGUCACUCAUACUCUUUUUGAAAACUGCUGAAUAAAAUGUGUGCAAUAUGUUAGAUAUCUGAGCACAAGGAGAAAAGCAUGUGUAAAUACACAUCCUGUUUGUCAUUAUCUUUAGAACCCACAACAGG